UGGCGCAUGGAUGGGAAAACACAGAGCGAAUGGAAAACUUAACGAAACAUUUUCCCUCCAGUUCGCUCUCUGUUUUCAAACCCGUCGCUCUGGGAAAGCGGAAGAGCUUUCCUAUCAGUAGCGGCACGUACCUAAGUCUACCCUGGGAGAAUGAACCCCAGUUAGAGCUGAGGAUGGUUGUACGCGGUGGAUGAUCGCAGGCCCCGACAGACGGACGACGAGAGCAAACAUUUACUACACAAGGUAGGAAGAGCUUUCCGCAAGGCAACCGACGAGGAACCAGAUGGCAGUUACUUUUCCCUUUCAGUCUGAGAUAAACUUUGGUCGCGUUCGGUCGGGAAACCCACGUUGCUCCGCCCAGCGGUCCGGAUCUAGGUGUUGAACAUAGCACACAGCGCUUCACAUAGACAUCCACUACUGGUGACUUGGAGGUUAAUUCUUGCGGGAUAGACUGUGCUCCCCGGACCUUUCUCGUUUGCUUCUGCCAGACCCGUCUGCCGGAGAGCUGCGGGUGGUGACGCAGCAGCAGGUCGCAUUCUAGCAGAGUUUCGAAUCCCCGGUAUCGUGUGGAUUGUGAGUUGGAAAUUCAAUGCAUCUGCUGGCUCUUCUGAUGGAGUAGGAUAGGUUGGAGUUUGGAUAGUGAAUUUCAGUGAGUUGGCACCCGGGAGGAAGUAGUGUUAAGGGCAGAUUCGAUGAGCGGUUGUCCUAUGUGUGGAAAUAAAAAGGAAGUACAUAAUAAAGUGAAAAUAAAGCAGUAAGAAAUUUCUAUACUCGGUUCAUAGCUAUUCAUGUUCACGGUUAUAAUGUUGCAGAAAUAGUGACAAAGUGGCAAAGCAGAGUGGCUAGAUAAAAAAACGGCUGAAUGUCAGUGAGAUUGCAUUAGAAAGCGGAAACUCAACGAGGGAGUGAAAAUAAAGCAUACUCUCGAUGCACAGAGCUUCGUUGAUGCUGAAUGUAAAUUAAUUGUGUGAUGUAAGGUCAAACGGUGAUGAAAGUGUAGAUUGGAGAAGAAUUUCAAUUAUAUCAAAACGAUUUCUUGGCGCAAACCGAGGCAUCCGUCCUGACGAGGAAAAAUAUUCAUUUCGUUCCGUUAGUGCUGCAUACAGAUGAUACUGCAAAGUGAAGAGGAAAAUAACGAGUAUUAGUGACACGUGUCUUGAAUCCCACUAAAGGAGAAAAGCAGUGAGUGAGCAAAAUUGAAUUUGCAAUCGCACCAACAACCAACGCUUAGCCCAGAGCUCCACACGACGGUGAUGUGAUUUCGCAGUUGGACGUCAUAAAUUUAGGACGGACGGUGUGAUACGAUCUUCAUCUGCUAUGAUUACCUCGGGUGGAAAAACGCGACGACGACCCUGCUAAGCAUAGAAGGAAAAUCGCAAUCAGCAGCACUCAACGACACCGUGUUCCUGUUCCCGUUCGAUGAUUCGCUCACCUGGCCUGCAGCAGCUGAUUCAAGGAGCGUGCGCGCGUAACAAGGUUCCACAGGUGCAAAAGUAACAACCCCUACGCGAAGAAGUGGUCUUUGUUGCUCCGGGCUGGCUGCACCGGUGCCUUCUUCUCGGAGCGCACCAUAAAAAAGCACCAGUGAAAUUAAAGCACAAAAGCAAGAUUUCCGCCUGUUGAACACACCCGGUUCCCGAUGGGCACUGUAGUAGUGGUAAAUCCCUGCUGGCGGUUGGUCGUGGGGUUGAAGGUUCAACAAGCAAAGUGAGCAAGCAACUGGAAUAACCGCAAAGAACCUCAGCUGUGGUGGUGGUGGGGAGUUAAAUGAAGUGGGAGGAAUAGAAGUUUGUGGGAAAUAUAGCCGCAGAAAAAGAGGCGGUAGGAGGAAACCAUGGCCGCCGUAGUCGAGGAAGCCGUCUUCAACGCACUGCGAGGGCAUCACAACGAAAAGACGAAGCUGCCGUCUCCUCGCAUUAUCAAGAUUUAUGUUGCAAGCUUAAAGGAAGACUUCAAAGAGGAACGACGGUUGCUGCUCGAAGUGAUUGGACCCGAUUUACAGUCGGUUUACGAUGAUCGACAAAUUGAGGUCGAGAUUGUGGACAUCCAUUUCGGAACGGGCAGCGGAUGUACGGUGGUAGACUUGGAUCCCUAUGUGCUGGACGACCAUCUGUACGAAAUCGAAACGUGCCACCGAGUUUCCAAAAGUGUAUUUUUAAUCGUAUUGUUAGGAUCACGUUUAGGCAAUUUUUUGCUGCCGACGAAGUUAGAUUCGGAAGUUUUUACGGCAAUCAACAAGCAUUCGACGGCCGACGAGUGCGAGUGCCUCAGGAAAUGGUACCAGGAGGAUGCGGCUGCCGGAGGAUACGUGUUGCGAACGCAGUUCAGGACAAAGGAACGUCAGGAGUGGAUUACGGAAAGUCGGCAGCUGAGCGAUAUUCUCGAGAACAAAAUCGACGAGAUUUUAAAGGCAUUCCAAGGUGGUGGCGGCGGAGGAGGUGAAGCAGGAGGAGGAGGAGGUGGAGAGGAAGGUGUAGGCAUCACCUUAAUCGAUAGCAAACGGUUCUGUGAUAAUCUUAAACGACUGAAAACCAGAGCACUCGAGUUGGAAAUCCAGAAGGGGCUAGCCUGCUCGAAGGAAAACAUGUUGGCCGUUUUUCGCCAGUGGGAUGCGGAAAACGGAAAUGGCCCCAACGACGAGAGCGGAAUGGAGCAAAUAAAAUCAUCUCUACGGGAGGCACUACCUGCUGACAAUCAAGAAACGCUAACAGCGCCAUGGACAGAAGGAGGAAUUGAUCCAGAGUUGGACAGCCACGAGAGCUAUCUGAACGACUUCAAGGAAUUAAUCUACGAUAAGCUGAAGAACGCCAUCGAUCAAAGCCUGGCGAAGGAACCGAAUGGAGGCAAGGGUCGGAAGAAAACCGUUCAAGAGAUCUUUUACGAGCACUCGACCCACCUAAUGUACUUGAACGAGCAUCUCAGUGCCAGUAAAUACAUAUCAUCUAAAAUCCCAGACCGGAUACGGCAGAACGUGCAGCAAAACUAUCGCUCUGGCAGUCGCCACCCACCGUACUUCAUCUACGGUGGUCACGGCAGUGGCAAAAGCACACUCCUUUCACACAUCUACACGCAGCUAACGGGCUGGUUCGAGCACAUUAAAGUACACCGUGUGAUCCGGUACGCCUCGGCCACCCCCCGGUCCGCCUACAAUCUGGAACUGCUGAGAGUAAUCUGUCAACAGCUGGCAAUUAUCCUCAAUAUACCGGAAGGCUAUUUGCCGAAGGAUGCCUCGUUUGAUCCGCUCUACAUCAAUAAUUGGUUCCAGAACCUGCUGAAACACUGCGAAGAUUUGCACAACGAGAUACUGUUUCUCUUCAUCGAUGACCUGCACAGGCUGAACCCGCUGGACUGUGACAUUGUGGCCGCUUUAUCGUGGCUUCCAAUCAGCCUGCCGUGGAACGUUUUCCUGGUGGUUUCGACCACUGUGCCAAUCGAUUCGCUCAAGCUAACGCCGAUGCAGAAGGAACGGUUCAAAUACUCGGAUUACUUCUUCGAUCUCUCGCUGGAGCAGAACGAGACGAUUGUGCGGAAGGUGGAUAGCUCGCAGUCCUUUGAAGAGUACGUGAACAACAUUUUCAAUGCAAUGGAGCAGCGGUUUGGCCAGAAGGGCUUCAGCAAACUGGCAAUCUACAUUACGUGCUCGGAGUACGGGCUGACCGAGACCGAGUUUCUCGAGCUUUUGAUGCCCACCCAGGACUCGGAUGCACUCAUCGAUACGAACGAGGGAGGGUUCAAUUUCUCCACCUUUCGGACCGCCCGCAACGAGAUGAGAGCCCUUUUGCGGGAGAAACUAAUGUCCGGAAAGUUGCUCAUCGUUUGGCGGCACAGCAUCUGCUCGGAAAUCACCAAAGUGCGCUACAUGACACCGGAUAUCUCCCGGGCGGUCCAUUCGGAAAUUGUGAAUUUGUUCUUCCCGCCGGAUAGCGAGGAGAGCGACGAGAUUUCCAGUGCACAAAACAGCAGAAAAUCGAGUAUCCAAACUCAGCACGAUGACAACGUGACCCAGAUCAUUACCCUCGGACCGGACAUUUCCUACAGCAUACGGCACGUCGAGGAAUCCUGGCACCAUCUAAUUAAAUCCGAUGACACGAAAAAGCUCAAAGAGAUUGCGGUGUGCAAUUUCGACUUUCUGCUGGCGGCCGUACAAACAGUGUCAAUUAGCUAUCUGCGGUGUUUGAUUGAGCACGUGCGGUGUUACAUUCUGGAUCGUGACAUCGAGCUCGUUUACUACACCAUCCGGAAGUCGAGCGACGUCCUGACGAGGGAUCCAAUGCAGCUGGGAGCACAGCUGAUAUCCUGGCUCAAAUCAGUGGCAGCCCACGAAGGUCCUCAGGCGUUGCUGAGCGUGACGGUUCAAUCAGCGACGGCGUGGUGCGAUGGCUACACGGUUCCCCUGCUGGUGCCCCUUACCGGUUGGCUGCCGGUGCCGCUGCCAUCGCAGAUCCGGUGCAUGACGGUUCCCGGACCGGGGCCGGUGCGCUGUAUCGAGGUGUCCCCCUCGAAGCAACACCUAAUCCUCUCGCCCAAGGUGGGCGACCCACAACUAUGGCACAUCAUGAGCAACAGUUUGGUGCACACAUUCAAGGGUCACAGUGGUCCGGUAACGUAUAUGAAAGUACAAUGGCAAUACCUGCUCACCGCAUCCGAGGACACAUCUGUUAUCGUCUGGGACAUGCAAACACUGGCGAUGAAGCUGAGAUUAUGCGAACACAUAGCUCCGGUGACGUGCUGUACGCUGGCACUGGAUAAUAAGUACCUUAUCACCAGCAGUGAGGACUCCAGCAUUAUUGUGGCUCUGUUCGAGAGCGGGAAGGUGAUCACAAAAAUAGACCACCACCGAGGCCCGGUCACGGCCAUCCACGUCGCCAUGCCCAGCGAGGUGCUGGUCUCGUCCAGCCACGACGGAACCGUAUGCCUCUGGUCCCUGGACAAUUUCACCCUGCUGAACUGCAUCCAGUUGCCCCAUCCGGUGCUGAACUUUCAAAUUUCCUGUGAUUCGAUUUUCCUGCUGGCGUACUGCGAGGACAAUGGUCUCUACCUGCGGGCGCUCGCCACCGGGACCGAGCUGCACGCUUUAAAAGGGCACAAAUCGAAGGUCCGCGCGCUCUGUAUCGCCAUGGACAGCCAACGAGCUAUCGUCGGAGGCGAAGACACCCGCGCCCUUAUCUACGACAUGCACUCGGGCCGUGUAAUUCGAUCUCUUCCGCCGAACCCGGGCCCCGUCACGGCAGUGUACAUAAUGGCCAAGGACGACUAUCUCAUCACGGCCGGCGGAAACAAAAUUACGUUCUACUCAUUCCGAAACGAAGACUCCAUAGUGCAUUUCUUCCCGAAGAAGAAGAAAACCAUGAAGAAAAUAGCCAAAAGUCGGGUUGCUUUGGCAGCGGCGGCAAGUCCUGUGAUUUGCUUCGACAUUUCGCGGGACUCAACGACGGCCGCGGUUGCGGCGAGCCGCUGCAUUCAAAUAUGGCAACUGAACACUCCGGAAUUGACGGCGAUUUUAGAGGGGCAUAGUGGUACGGUGACGUGCGUGAGUUUCGCACCGAAUUGCGAAUUCGUGGCGUCUGGAUCAGAGGACAAAACUGUAAAUGUGUGGAGUUUAGCUUUGGGGACGAUUGCGACUACCUUUAAGGGUCAUAACACGUUUGUUACGUCUGUUACAUUCCUGAUGGAUUCGCGGCGGAUUAUUUCCGCUGAUCGGGAAAGUUGCCUCUUCGUGUGGAUGGCCGACUCAGGAACGAUUCUUCAAAGUGUUCAAGGUCCCUUCAAGUGUUUAGCGGUUACGAAUAAUAUGAAGUUCGCGGUAUGUACGAAUGGUGAUACAAGUUUGCGGAUAUGGUCGCUCACUCGAGAAGAUGAAAAGUUCUUGGUAUCUCACUCCGGUGAAAUCACGUGCUUUAUCAUAACCGCCGACUCGCUAUACUUGAUAUCGGGAUCCAAGGAUAUGUCCCUGAAGGUGUGGCAAGCCUCCGGAGGUAAGUUGGCUCAGGUUUUGGUCGGCCAUACCGAUGCAGUUACUUGCGUGGCGGUUUCCGUCACGAACAAGAGUCAAGUCAUAUCAGGAUCCAAGGACUCAAACCUCAUCAUUUGGGAUAUUCAUACGGGAGAGGAGAUCCACACGCUUGCUGGCCAUUUAGCGCCUGUUACGUGCGUCAAGGUUUCGGCUGAUGGCACAACUGCUGUUUCCGGAAGUGACGAUAAAACGCUUAUUGUUUGGGAAACGAAGCGUGGAUUAGCUCUGACGUCACUGCAGUUGCAUGUUCAGUUUACUCGGUUCGAUAUCAGCUUAGAAUGUUCUAGGAUCGUUGUUCAACUAGUGGACAGUUCGUGUCUUCCCAUUAUAUGUCUACAUAACUCACCUGCUUCGUACAUUAAGCUUCCAACCUACUCAGCACCAGCACGGGAUGUCGAAGAUCUACGACCUGCUGGACCCAAGCGUCCAACGCGAAGAUUACUGAAAAAGGAAGUUUCCCUGGAUACAUACACCUGGCAGAAGAAGUACGCCCAUCUGACCUCGUCGGUCAUGAUGGCACAAGUAGACGAAAGACUGAAACGCCGUUUCUCGGUGUCGGCUAGUAUGGAAGAAAUAUCCAAGCUGGCUGAAUCCAAGACCAUGGAAUCCCAGCAAAACCUUGGCCCAGAACAAGCUGCUCUGGCUCAGUCACAGCACUUCGAUCAGCUGGAAGCUCUGUGGAACAAGCGAUCUCCUCCAAGAAGACGAGUUAAUGCGUCUCUUUCGCGGCAGUCCUCCCUGGUGGAAGACCGCAUCGAAUCGUCCGAUGAAGAUGAGUUCCUGGAAGAACGUGCAGCAUAGUCCGUUCUGAGAAAAUUUGUAGUUAGUAGAAGAAUUGUACGCUUAUUACCAUACGUUCUAGCGGAUUAAGUGUCAGAAUACCAAUUAAGUGACCGUUGUUGUAUUAAAACGUAUUUCACACAAGUUUUAUAGGUUCACCGAUCGUGUCAGUGUGGUGCGUACAUUCCCAACAUUCCAGCAAAUAUCAUACGUUACAUUACAGCACCGCAGUGCAGACACAGAACCACACCGGAAAAGCUUCCCUUUUCCAUAAUCAUCAUCGCUAUAAGUUCUCUGCAGCAAUUGUGCGAAAGUUAUCUUCCUUUUCCAAACGGACGCAGCCACUGAAUGGUGGCAGCAGUCGGAAAGCUUGCAAACGCUAACUCUCCACCCACCCACUCGGGCAAGCUUGUACUGAAAGCAUCCAAAAAAUAACACCGCAAUCGUAUGAAGAAAAAAAAACUUUUAUAAAACCCCUAAACGAACAAAAAUUGAAAAGCUCACAAAAAGGCCGUGAAUUAUGUACACUAUUGGAAAUAUGUAAGGAACAACAUUUUGUGCCGACGAAUUGGAUUCAGAUUAGCGGGAUUUGUUACCCCUUAUUGUUACAACUCUUUCCUGUUGCCACAGGCCAUCCCUCGAAACUGAAGCUCCCUCUCUCCUUGUAAUGCUUAAGUGAUAGACGUUAAGGUUUUGGUGGAUUUCAAUUACGUAUAUGCAUGCCAUGUAAGCAGAAUCAAGUUGGAAUAAGGAUUUGCUGCAUUUUAAUAACUGGAUGUGUUCAAGAAAAUUCAAAAAUGAAAAGCUGUUGUAGCGUAUAAUGAAGGAACUGGAUAAAAGAUAUUAAAUUGAUGAUUAUUUCGGGCGAACAAAGGUUAAAUCUUAUUCAAAUCAAUCUACAGACAAACCAUCAAUGACAACUGAUUUGACAAAUAUGCAUGCACAAUUGAAUAACGAUGAUUAAAUUACUAAUACAAGUACAAUAUUCUAUUCCUAUGGUGUUUUAACUAUAUUAGGUAUAUUAGGUUUCCUAUGAAAUUCAUGGUUUGUGACUUUUCAAUGGUUGUCAGGUAUUUCUUACUU